rnacentral:rRNA from 1 species
UACCCCGAGGAAAAGAAAUCAACCGAGAUUCCCCCAGUAGCGGCGAGCGAACGGGGAGCAGCCCAGAGCCUGAAUCAGUGUGUGUGUUAGUGGAAGCGUCUGGAAAGGCGCGCGAUACAGGGUGACAGCCCCGUACACAAAAAUGCACAUGCUGUGAGCUCGAUGAGUAGGGCGGGACACGUGGUAUCCUGUCUGAAUAUGGGGGGACCAUCCUCCAAGGCUAAAUACUCCUGACUGACCGAUAGUGAACCAGUACCGUGAGGGAAAGGCGAAAAGAACCCCGGCGAGGGGAGUGAAAAAGAACCUGAAACCGUGUACGUACAAGCAGUGGGAGCACGCUUAGGCGUGUGACUGCGUACCUUUUGUAUAAUGGGUCAGCGACUUAUAUUCUGUAGCAAGGUUAACCGAAUAGGGGAGCCGAAGGGAAACCGAGUCUUAACUGGGCGUUAAGUUGCAGGGUAUAGACCCGAAACCCGGUGAUCUAGCCAUGGGCAGGUUGAAGGUUGGGUAACACUAACUGGAGGACCGAACCGACUAAUGUUGAAAAAUUAGCGGAUGACUUGUGGCUGGGGGUGAAAGGCCAAUCAAACCGGGAGAUAGCUGGUUCUCCCCGAAAGCUAUUUAGGUAGCGCCUCGUGAAUUCAUCUCCGGGGGUAGAGCACUGUUUCGGCAAGGGGGUCAUCCCGACUUACCAACCCGAUGCAAACUGCGAAUACCGGAGAAUGUUAUCACGGGAGACACACGGCGGGUGCUAACGUCCGUCGUGAAGAGGGAAACAACCCAGACCGCCAGCUAAGGUCCCAAAGUCAUGGUUAAGUGGGAAACGAUGUGGGAAGGCCCAGACAGCCAGGAUGUUGGCUUAGAAGCAGCCAUCAUUUAAAGAAAGCGUAAUAGCUCACUGGUCGAGUCGGCCUGCGCGGAAGAUGUAACGGGGCUAAACCAUGCAC